GCAAAUCAAGAACGUAUCCAUUAAUAUUAGUAAUUCAACAUGUUUUAAGUACAUAUGGUCUACUUGCCGAUAACCAAAAAAAAAAAUCUCUAAUAACACUAUACGAAGAUAACAAUGCAUGCAUAAAUGAUAAUAAAUGGUACAAGAAUUGAGACAAGACAAAACAUGCUUCAUCAAAAUUCUUCUCCACUAAUAAUCUUCAGAAGAAUGGUGAGGUUGAUGUUUAACAAAUUCAUUCAAGCAACAAUCUUGCUUAUUUGCUCAACAAAGCACUUCCUACUACAUAUUUUCAAAAUGGGUGCACAAACUAGAAUGCAAAGACUCAAAGAUCUCAAGUGAUAUCUUUAUAAGGGGGAGUAAAUAUGCACUGUACUUUUUUUCCCUUUAUGAAGAUGUUUUUUCCACUAGGUUUUCCUAGUAAAGGUUUUUAAUGAGACAAUAUUUCAUCACCUAUUCCACAAAAGAAUAAUGUAUUCUUUUUAUCUUCACUAGGAUUUUUUUUUCCCAAUGGGUUUUUUCCUACUAAGGUUUUAAUGAGACAUAUUCAUUAAUGCAUUGACAUCUAAGGGGGAGUGUUAUGAAUAUUAAUUAUGGAUGUCCUUUUGCAUUCCUACUCCUAAACCUCUUCAUAUUAUCUUUAUAUGACCAUUGUAUCUUUAUUUGUCAUUGUUCAAGUCUCUUCAUCUUCUUCCCAUGUAUUCAAUGUAUUUAUCCAUAAGAAUUUAUUACUCCUAUCUUAUGUAUGCCUAUAAAAAGAGGCAUUGUAUAUGAUGUUAUACACACUUGAAGGAAAUGAAAGAAUAGAAAUUCUACUUUUCUCUCUUAAUAUUCUUUUCUCUUCUAAGUUAUUCUUUUAGCCUUAGUUCAUAAUACUUUAAUUUUAUUUCAUAACAAUAUUAUGUUAUAUUAUAUUAUU
rnacentral:misc_RNA from 1 species